rnacentral:rRNA from 1 species
ACCGGCAAACGGGUGCGGAACACGUACGCAACUUACCCAAAACUGGGGAAUAGCCCGGGGAAACCCGGAUUAAUACCUCGUAACAUAAUUGAGUGGCAUCACUUGAUUAUUAUAGCUCCGGCGGUUUUGGAUGGGCGUGCGCCUGAUUAGGUAGUUGGCGGGGUAACGGCCCACCAAGCCUACGAUCAGUAACUGGUGUGAGAGCACGACCAGUCACACGGGCACUGAGACACGGGCCCGACUCCUACGGGAGGCAGCAGUAAGGAAUAUUGGACAAUGGGCGCAAGCCUGAUCCAGCCAUGCCGCGUGAAGGAUGACGGCCCUCUGGGUUGUAAACUUCUUUUAUAUGGGAAUAAACCCCUGGUUUCUACCGGGGCUGAAUGUACCGUAAGAAUAAGGAUCGGCUAACUUCGUGCCAGCAGCCGCGGUAAUACGAAGGAUCCAAGCGUUAUCCGGAUUUAUUGGGUUUAAAGGGUGCGUAGGCGGACUAUUAAGUCAGUGGUGAAAGCCUGCAGCUUAACUGCAGAACUGCCAUUGAUACUGAUGGUCUUGAGUACAUUUGAGGUGGGCGGAAUGUGUCAUGUAGUGGUGAAAUACUUAGAUAUGACACAGAACUCCGAUUGCGAAGGCAGCUCACUAAACUGUAACUGACGCUGAGGCACGAAAGCGUGGGGAUCAAACAGGAUUAGAUACCCUGGUAGUCCACGCCCU